rnacentral:rRNA from 1 species
CCUACGGGAGGCAGCAGUGGGGAAUAUUGGGCAAUGGAGGAAACUCUGACCCAGCGACGCCGCGUGCGGGAUGAAGGCCUUCGGGUUGUAAACCGCUUUCAGCAGGGAAUGAGCGCAAGUGAAGGUACCUGCAGAAGAAGCACCGGCUAACUAUGUGCCAGCAGCCGCGGUAAUACAUAGGGUGCAAGCGUUGUCCGGAAUUAUUGGGCGUAAAGAGCUCGUAGGUGGUUUGUUACGUCGGAUGUGAAAAUCAGGGGCUCAACCCCUGACCUGCAUUCGAUACGGGCAAGCUGGAGUUUGGUAGGGGAGACUGGAAUUCCUGGUGUAGCGGUGGAAUGCGCAGAUAUCAGGAGGAACACCGAUGGCGAAGGCAGGUCUCUGGGCCAAUACUGACACUGAGGAGCGAAAGCGUGGGGAGCGAACAGGAUUAGAUACCCGUGGUAGUCCACGCCGUAAACGGUGGGCACUAGUUGUGCGAACCUUCCACGGUUUGUGCGACGCAGCUAACGCAUUAAGUGCCCGCCGUGGGGAGUACGAUCGCAAGUAAUUAAACGUUAAGGAAUUGAGCUUGAGACGNGCGAGACGACGACGAGGAGAG